rnacentral:lncRNA from 1 species
CAUCUCGAGCUGAUGCUUUUGAUCCAAUAAGGAGGUCUGGUGGAAAUUCAUCUACGAGUAGUGAGGGAGAAACCAAGUCAGCUGAUGUUUUGUUUUCCCAGGGGGACGUUGGGUCCGGUAUCCCUGCACCAUGUACCAGUGGUAUACCUGCACCCUGUACCACCGGUAUACCUGCACCCUGUACCACGAGUCAAACUACUGCAUUUUCUGCAAUGGGUAGGAGUACAAUGUUUGAAGGUGUGACCAAUGGGCGUGGAGCAGCACCUGGAAACCUAAGUUGGGGUGGACCAGUUCAGGGAUAUACAAAUGUUGGUUUUGGA